AUUUUUUUUUUUACUCUAAAUAACUUCCAGAAAUCAAAAGAUAAAUUGAAGGGAGUAAAUCACGAGGCAGCAGAUCCUCUGGUGCCGGAUUAGUACCUGUCCCUCUGUCCCCACCUAUCAAGGCGGUUUUAAUUUCAAAGUUAUAUAGUAACCAUACAAAUGUUCUUCAAUUCAUUCAUUCAUAGAAGAAAGAAAGGCUUCUUUUUUUUCUUCUUCUAUCAAGGAAACAUAGAUUUCUGAUUUAUGUUUCAGUUUGGGUGCUGCUGAAAAGGAUUCACUAUUAAGGUUAUUCUCCAUCUCUACAACGAAAAGGGGUCACUGUGAAGAGAAGAGCUGAUGUGGACAGGGGCGGAAGCACAGCAAGACUUCCCCUGCAUUGUCGAAGUGUUUAGUCUUUGCCAGUUCUGUGUAAAUUAGGAUCAUGCACUUUAGUUGUUUGUGGAAAUGCCCACGAGAGGGCAGUUGCAAGGGUGGGGGUUCUUGCUCGACCAAUAAUUGGUAGAGAAUACAAGGAAUGCUUUAGUGGAAAUCAUAAUACUGGUAUCCAUCAAAGAAGUGCAUUAAGGAAUCGCUGCCCCAUAUUUGUUGGAAACAGCAGUCGUCGUUAAAGAGAAUAAGAGUGCCCGAAAAAGAACAUGAUGUACAGUUUUGCUAUUAGGACUUUCCGAUGUUCUUUUAAGAGGGAGAAGCUAAUGAUGGCUAAAGAAUACCUGCGCAAAGGUUAGUGUAUCAAAACCUUCAUACCCAUCCUCCAAAUCAGAGUCGGACUUGUUGAUUGGGACAAGUUAAGAGGCAGUAAUAAUAUUUUCUAACUCUGAUCCAUGUCUUUUUGCUUUCUUUUGUGAUGUAAAUUACCUGUUGACACAUUGUUCCCUAUACUGUGUUAGUUUCUACACAUUUGUUUCAUGUCGUUGCUGAUAUGCUUGUUGGUUUGAAGGUCAAUGACUCGGUUGUGAUAUAGGUAGAGAAAGGAAUUCAUAAUGUUGAUGAUGAUGCCAAGCCGACAUGUCUUGUUCAAGUUUGUGUAGCAUCUAUAUGCUUGACUAUGUGUUGUGAUAUAGUAUAAAUAAUGUGCAUUACCUUGUCCUGAAUUUUCGUGCAGUACUACAUUAAAUUGAGCUGAUUUUGCUGAAUUUUCUUUUAGUUAAGUGGAAAUAUGAAGUACAGAAACUUGGCUUUUGGUUAGACCUCAUAUUACCUUGUAGUACGUCUUGAGAUGCUUCUCUUUUAGCUUAUGCACCCUUAACACUGUACAUCUACAUGUCUUGCAUAUAUAAAAUAAAAGAUUCGACUAUGUUCAUUUGGAAUUGAAGAUUUUCCAAUUUUAAGACUGAAUUAAUCUUUUUAUCUUUUUGGUUUUAAUUUAAGCUUCAUUCCCGAGAUCUCCCAACAGUGAAGGAGGAUCUUAUGACGUCAAUGGAAAAGAGUUACGCCCAUCCUUGGGUUGGACCUCAGAGAUGGGUUGGACUGCACCCAUAUCCAAGGGGAUUCAUGCCUUGAGGGCUCAACUGGAAGCAGCAAAAUAUGAUGUGAUUAAGUAUUGCACUGGACUGAAUACGAUGAUAGAUGUGUGAAUAUUUUCUCAGCUGAAGGGAGAGUGUUUCAAGUUUAAGCUAUUAAGGUAAACAACAAAACAGUAAAGACGUAUUUCUAUUACUUUGAGUCAGUCGAUCAAGUUUUUCAUGGAUUAUUUCUUGCACAAAUUGAUCGAUGAAAUUGAGUCGGAGAUCUCAACAAAGAUAUCAUGGAUGAUUAAUCGGAAAAUAUCCAAUUAAGGACAGUCAAAUUGACAUAGGAUAUAUUUGUAUUCCCUAAAUGGAUAUUUUCUUCUAAUCAAAUAACCUUCUGGCAGUCAUGAUAUUAAUGGUUAUAUAUCCUUUCGGACCUUUCCUUAUUA